rnacentral:rRNA from 1 species
GCAAGUCGAGCGCUUCCCUUCGGGGAGGAGCGGCGGACGGGUUAGUAACGCGUGGGAAUAUACCCAGUUCUAAGGAAUAGCCACUGGAAACGGUGAGUAAUACCUUAUACGCCCUUCGGGGGAAAGAUUUAUCGGAAUUGGAUUAGCCCGCGUUAGAUUAGCUAGUUGGUAAGGUAAUGGCUUACCAAGGCGACGAUCUAUAGCUGGUUUGAGAGGAUGAUC